UAUGGUGGCCUUGGCCAGUGGUCCGACCCGAUCCCAUCCCGAACUCGGCCGUCAAACACUGGCUUGCCGAUGGUAGCACCUGUAUAGCUUGUGCGAGAGUAGGGAGCCGCCAACC
rnacentral:rRNA from 1 species